AACGUAGGAGACAAACGUUAUCCGGAGUUACUGGGCGUAAAGAGCGCGCAGGCGGUCGUUCAAGUCGAGUGUGAAAGCCCCCCGGCUCAACUGGGGGAGGGGUCACUCGAUACUGAUCGACUCGAAGGCAGGAGAGGGAAGUGGAAUUCCCGGUGUAGUGGUGAAAUGCGUAGAUAUCGAGAGGAACACCAGUGGCGAAGGCGAGUCUCUGGACGACACCUGACACUGAGGCACGAAAGCCAGGGGAGCAACAGG
rnacentral:rRNA from 1 species